rnacentral:lncRNA from 1 species
AUUCAAAGCUCACGUCCCUUCAGGUUGAAGCUUAUGAUGCUUUCUGCUAUGAACCCUCGCAAAGUUUCUAGUCUGCAAAACGGAAUUACUUUUAAAGUCCCCUCGUCUGGACUCGCCUCUCCAGACGGGUUGGCGGCAAGGGGAAAUAGGGACGGAGGACGGUUAAGCGUUCAAACAAAAUUUUAAAACCUAAAAACCAAUCCUGUUUUCAGAGGAGAAAGUAAGCGUUCACCAAACCGCCACCCGGCAAGCGAACAUCCGAUUUCCAUUUGGAGAGAAAAAUGUUAAAGAAGCCAUACAUACAUUUCCCUGCCCAACAAAAGUGGCCUCUAAACUCCCCUGCCAAGGACACUGGGAGGAAACAGAGAAGCAGGACACAAGCUUGUACUUCUCAGAGGCGCGUGUGCGCGGCGGGCAGAACGCGCAAAGGCGAACACAACAGGGAAAAGGUGAACCGGAGGAACUGGGAGCCAGUGGCCGCAGGGUAGAACCGGCGAAGAAACCCAAGGUGCAGACGGAGGGGUGAGGGGGCGGGGAAGGGAGAGCCCGAGGCUCCAGGAGGAGAAGGGAGGGAUCCUAGACGUUGCCCAGAAAUCGCAGCAGCGGAGUAAAGUUAAUACUUACUCAGUUUCGCAACUGCGCCGCCCCCGCAGGCCGCCCGCCCAGGCCGGCCGGGGCGCUGAGGACGCGACGGCGUCCGAAGCUCGGCGGCCGCCCAGCUCCUGUCCCGGCCGUGCCGCCCGGCGCGCCUCCCUCCGCCGCACUCGGCGGGCCGCACGCCCCGCACCGGCUGGAGGCCCCGGCUCCCGGCGCGUCCUCUCGGCGCACCUCCCGGCCAGCGCUAGGUGAGUGUGGACGCCCCUGGCUGAGCUGCCGCGGUGUGGGAGCGCUCGGGCAGCGGCUGUGCCGCCCGCAGGAGCCGCCCCCAGCGCCGCCGCCGCUGCCGCGGGCGGUCUAGCGAGGCUCGGCGAGGAGCGGGGCGGCGAGCGUUGUGCCGGACGGCGGAGUUGGCGGCCGGCUCGCCCCCGCGGCCGGUGCCUCUGGGCUGGGGGCCGGGCUGGGGGCCGGGCCGGGCUCGGGCACCCGGGCGGCUCCGCCCCUUCGCCGGGCCGCGGGUAGAGCGCGCGCGAGGAGCGGCGCGGGGGCGCCCCCCUCGGCCGGGCGCUCGGGUUACAGCCCCGGCUCUCCGGCUUCCCCGCCCGCUCCUUGCCGGUUCACUCGCGCCGUGAGAGACAUUGUAACGGAACUGGGACGCCAGCGCUGCAUUGUGGGAGCUUUUAAAGCGGCGGGGAGCGCGGCGCAGCCGCUCGGGCCCACCGGGCCAAGCUCACCCCGGCGCCCCUAGCUCGGCCCCGCCGCCGCUCGCCCCACCCGACCGCCGAGGCCUAUGGACCAGAAAAGCCAGAAAUGGUGAGGUGACCAGUGCCUACUGACUCUCACAGGAGCAAAAUCUUCCAGAGCUCCGGGUGAGACUUGUAAAACUGCCCUCUACGGUCAUGUCGGAAAGUAGGAGGCUUAUUCUGCAGACGCUUAAAAAAGAAAAAAAGGAAAGAAAACAAAACAAAACCUUCCAUCCUCCAAGGACUGGGUUUGAAUUGCUUUUCAUCUGGAGUGGCAGUGAUUCAGCGACCCCCUUCUCAGCGGCAGGCAGUGACAGAGACAGGAGAUGAAAAACACAGCGAAUGAAUCAGACGUGAGUAACCAAGUUUAGAAAGAACUGGGCUCACAUUCAGAAAACUGCUCCCCCCCCCCCGACCCUUAAAUACAGCAAAUAGUCGAGGAAGAAAACCAGUGCUUUCAUCUGGAAAUGCAGAUAUGUAUGUGGUUCUCCCUAUCCCACCUUUUUUUUUUUUUUUUUUUAAAUGGCACGCAAUUACUCUAGCCACUGGACAAAAUUCAGUCUUUGGUCCAGGCUUGUGCUCACACAUGCCCACAACUCAGCAACAGCUAUUAAUUUGGAGGGAGAUGGAGUGAAGAUAAUGGUCGAGAUACAAGAAAACAUUCCAAUUAUAAAAUGCCCCUUUUAAUUCUCCAGACAGUUUUCUUUCUUUUUUUUUUUUUUAAAUCAAAACAAGGAUAUUAAAUUUGAAGCACAACUUGGUACAGCUUCUCUUACCAAAGACCUGAUUUGUUUUGUUUUGAGUUUGUGUUUGUAGGUCUUUUGUUUCUUCCUCUUGUUUUUUGACCUUUAGUUAUUGCACAGCUCAUUAGUUCCUUUGCCUUUGAGGUGAACUGAGGAGAAAGAGAGAUCAGUGAGACUCAAAUUUGGCUGAUAAACAUUUGGAGGAUUUGUGGACAAGGAGACUUCUCUAGGAUUCAAAUGCAAACCCUGAGGGAAUUUUAUUUAAGGUGAUUCCUUAGGGCAUGGAUCCUCUUCUCAAGAGGACUUUUCCAGACUUACCCUUAACAUUUCCUAAACUCUCAUUCCCUUGUCAACCUUUCACUCCACUGAACAACAUCAGUCACCCACCUCAUUGCCAAAUCUAAUGGAAAAAUUUAAUCCGCAUUUUGUUAUGCCCUUUGUGGCAUUUGCCAAUUUUGACCUCUUCCUUCCUUGAACUUUCCUCCCCCCACCCUUUUUUGUUGUUGUUGAUAGUCCUCCCUUUUUGGUGGAGGUCUUGAAACAGGGGUGAGUGAUAGCUGGCAGAAGUGUGGCUAUUGUUAAACUAGGAUUCAGGAUCUUACUGAAGGACAUAUCUUUUAUCUUUCUGUAAGGGGAAUGGAAGUAGAAGAAGAACCUUAAUCUGGUUUCUGUUGGUCACCAGUAGCGUCCUGACCUCAAUUUUAUCACACAUCCAGAGGUGAACAGUGGACUGGCUUAUGACAACCGACUUUCACAUGACUAGCAUUUAAAUCAGGAUGAAGUUGACUGUGAUAGUAUAACCGUGACCAAUAUUUAGGAUAAACACUUACUAGGCUCCAGGUACAUGAUGAAGUAUCCCCGCCUCCAAACCAGCGUGUGUCUUACUGAUGGUGCCAGAGUCAAGUGAAUUUAUCUCUGUCCAGUCCUGAAUCAACCCAGAAAAAUCUCUUCUCUACCUCAACCCCAUAUGGUUAAUACAUUUUUUCUUCAGUGUAGAGUGCAAUUUGUUUUAAGCUUUCUUAGCUAUAAUCACAUCCCUAUUAAGCUUUCCUGAGAUCAUACCAAAUGUCCUUGACAGGAUUUUGUAAACAACUCUUAUUUCUGGUUUCUAAUAUAUUCCCCAAAAGUAAUCUACCUAGAAUCAGUGAGUAUUCAUGCACCUUAAGCCCUGUGACAUAAUCAGAUUUGACUUUCAGGAAAAUAAUCUGAGAGGGUAGAUUCAGAAAAGAGGAGAAUCCCAAGAAAGAUUUGUGAAGGGGGAGGGGGACACCAUCUAGAGAUAUAUUACUGUGUAUUAUUAUUUUCCUAUUGCUACUAAAAAAGUUACCACAAACUUAGUGGCUAAAAUCAAGAUGUGUUAUCUUGCAGUUCUGGAGGUCAGAAAUUCUAAAGUCAAGGUGUGGGCUGUGUUCCAUCUAGAGUCUCUAGGGGAGAAUCCAUUGCUUUGUUUUUUCUAGUUUGUAGAUGCUAUCUGAUUUCCUUGGCUUGUGGCCUCUUCCUCCGUAUUUAAGGCAAUAGCAUACAUAUCAUCUUCAAAUCUGUCUCUCUUCUUGUGACCUCUGCUUCAUGGUUAGGGGCUAUCUUUCUCUCUAAGGUAGGCAAAGAAAAUAGGAAUUGAUGUAGAUACAUUUCUAGCCAUAUAUGUUACAAACUGAAUUGAACCGGAUUAUUUGUAGGAAGAGAUGAGUGUUUUAAUUAUUAGUCACAGCAUCAUAGGGAUAACUUAUUUGGCUGUAAAAUUGCUGAAGUGGUGACCCAUUAGUCCAGCUAAACCUAUAUCCGUCCUGGUCACCCGUGUAACUGAAACCCAAGGUGUAAACACACUCAGAAAACCAGGUUCAGAUCUGCACUUUCUGGGGAUAAUUCCCUUUCUCUGGAAAUGCCUGGCAACUCUUUUUUAUGGUGUCUAGUAGACUCAUAUUGCCAAGUUUGAGAAACAUGUGUCGAGACCAACAUUUCCCAAACUGGCCUACCAGGGAACAUCAUCCUGUAAGAUGGGAUGCUGGGAAGACAGUUGCUCCAUGCUUGGAUAAGGUCCAUAGAACACAGUUGUGAUUACAGUUUAGGCCAACCAAGAACCUUGUCAGUGGGACAG